UCUGCGCCGUCUGCCUUUCCUUCAGCCUUCUUCUUGUAUUUUCACUCACGCCCUGCCCCUGCCUUCUUCUUCUUCAAUCUUCACGCCCAGGACGUCGUGCCUUCUUCUUCUUCUUUAAUCUUCACGCCGUCGUCGCCUGCCUUCUUCUUCUUCACACCAUCUGACGCGUCAUCACCGUCCAAUCCACUGCACACCCACGACUCCACCAGCACACAUGUCUUCUUCUUCGGCCUUACACGUUUUUAGAUCUGGUGAUUUCUGAAGCAAACGGAGCAAAAGAAGGAGGCGGUUAGUUUCGGUGCAUACCGAGUACAUGGAGGUGUUGAAAUGGAAAACCUUGAAUGUCACACGCACAUUGAUCGGCGACCCACGAAGAGGGCGCAUAUGGGCUGGGACGUUCUUCCUCAGAUCCCAAAGUGCAACAUGAAUAUUCCUCAAGCUAUCCUGGGUAUGGAUGUCAUUUGACAAGAGAAGUCUAGAAUGGGUAAAACUGCUGUUUUUGUUCUUUUAACAUUGCAACAAAUUAAACCUGUUGCUGGACAAGUUUCUGCAAUUGUGCUGUGUCAUACAAGGGAGUUAGCUUACCAGAUUUGCCAUGAGUUCGAGAGGCUCAUAGUUUUAUGCAUAGUUUUAUCAGAUCCAAAUCUGAUGAUAUCAAUUUUAUCAGAUCCAAAUCAGUAAUUGUAAAAAAUCUGGAACAAGUUGAGAUUUUAUUUGGCCUUUUGUACAUUAUAAAUCUGGGAAUCAUCUUAUUCAUCUACACGAAGACUGAUGUGAGGAAUGGUGGGGAGGAAGUCAUUCAGGAGGAAUGGGGAGGAAGUCAUUCAGCUGGGCCGGUCUAGGAAAAGGAAGAAAUCUAAUAGAAAGAAUAAUUGGGCUAAACGUAGAUCAUAGUCCAACUGAGCAGCAGCCAAGCUAAGUGAAUGCAGGGUGGCAAGGGGGAAGUGCAACCCUUUAGAGUUGAGAUUACAUUGUUUUAAAUUGUAAUUUGUGUUGUAUUUUAGUUAUUUAUGUAAAUUUUAUUUUUUAGUUUAGUUACAAUUAUGCUUAUUUCAUUUUUUUGUAUUUUUUUUUCUUGUAAUUCAAGAUUUAUUUUUUGAAAGUUUCUUGUAAUAUUGUGAAUUUUUUGUGCCUGAAACAAGUUAUUUAGUAUUUUUAGAAUAAAGUUUGUAUUUAAUAA